CGCUGCUGGCGGGGAAGGAGCUCGGGGCUGCCCGUCGCCAUGGCCACAGCAACAGACCGGGUGGUUGGAUUUGGCUUGGUAGCCUUCAGCCUUGUUCUCUUUGUUUAUUACACCAUCUGGAUCAUCAUACUGCCAUUUAUCGACAGCGACCAUGGGAUCCAUCAGUACUUCUUGCCCAGGGAGUAUGCUGUUAUUAUCCCUGUGGUAGCUGGGCUCCUGCUGCUGCUAUUUAUAGGCAUUUUCGUAAUGAUUGUGAUGUGGAAGAACAGGAAACCUGCAAAGAAAUUGGACUGAAGGCCCAACUGAGAGAGCUGAGAAGAAGGCAUCCACCUCACAACAUCUUAGCCAGGGAAAGACUUUGCCUGCAGCACCAGGCAGAUACCUCUUCCAAAACUCUCUCCUUUAGUAGAAAGGAUGCUGAGCUGGCUGCUCUCUCUCCAGCAUUCCUACCUGAAGAGGCAUGACCUGGUGUAAUUUACUGCUUACGGACCAAAGGGAAGCAAAUCUCUGACCUACAGGAGCCAUCCAGAAAGGGACCAUGACUCCAGCUAUGACAGAUCUGCUCCUCAGCUGGGGCCACAUGUAGUGGUGACGGCUUUAGCCUGUGCUGCGGGGGGAGAGCAGUCAGGGCACAUCUCUGAACUGUCAGGUGCUCAGCCUCUGGGAAGUUCUCCUCUGCUCUUCCUGUGUCCAGUAGUUUGUUCCUAAUGGGCUUUUACAUAUGGUUUGUUGAGGUUUUAAUUGGAUUCAAGAUGUAGAGGAAAGAAAGAAGACUAUUAGCUUGCAGAAGGCAGACUUGCCUUCCCCCUUUGCCUCCAGGAAGGGCUAAUUGUGGUUCCUGGUGGGCUCACGUUUAUGAAGAGGCUCCCCUGUGAGGCUGGCUUGGCAGAGGAUCAGGACAGGGCCAUUUUCUGCUGUUCUCUGGCAGGACUGCCUGCAACCCCUCCUGCAGAUGUCCAGCUGAGGGGGUGAGGAGGAGGUUGUGCCCUGGACUGCAAAGGAAGCAUUUGGCUUCUCCGCUAAUGAAUGCAGUUCCAACCACUGCUGUCAGCCACUGGCUUGGUUCCUGCCCUUGGCAAGGCUCUGCUCACCAGCAUGGUUGGGGCCAAGCAGACAGGCCUGCAGAGCUCCAUCCUCCCAUUAUGGAGUUUCUUCUCCUGGCAACAGCUUCUGCCCUGAGGUGUGCAGCCUUGGCAUGUCCUUCAAACUGCAAUGAGCUGGAAUCACCCUCAAUAAAGAGCCACCUCCCUGAGGCU